AGAGGUUGUUCGGCCACACUGGGACUGAGACACUGCCCAGACUCCUUCGGGAGGCUGCAGUCGAGAAUCUUUCGCAAUGCGCGCAAGCGUGACGGAGCGACGCCGCGUGGAUGAUGAAGGCCCUCGGGUUGUAAAAUCCAGUCGCGGGGGAAGAAUGGCAGGAAGUUAAUAGCUUCUCUGUUUGACGUUACCCCGGGUGAAGCGCCGGCUAAACACGUGCCAGCAGCCGCGGUAAUACGUGUGGCGCAAGCGUUGUUCGGAACCACUGGGCAUAAAGAGCGCGUAGGCGGUGCUGUAAGUCGGGUGUGAAAGCCCUCGGCUCAACCGAGGAAUUGCAUUCGAAACUGCAGCGCUAGAGUGCGGAAGGGGGGAGUGGAAUUCCUGGUGGAGCGGUGAAAUGCGUAGAUAUCAGGAGGAACGCCGGUGGCGAAGGCGACUCUCUGGUCCGUUACUGACGCUCAGUGCGCGAAAGCUAGGGGAGCAAACAGGAUUAGAUACCCUGGUAGUCCUAGCUGUAAACGAUGGGCACUAGGUAGUGGGGAUUACCGACAUUCUCACUGCUGGAGCUAAUGUAUUAAGUGCCCCGCCUGGGGAGUAUGCUCGCAAGGGUGAAACUCAAAGGAAUUGACGGGGGCUCACACAAGCGGUGGAGCAUGUUGUUUAAUUCGAGGCUACGCGAAGAACCUUACCUGGGUUUGAAACGGUUGGUAUAAAGCUAUUGAGAGAUAGUGGAUUGCCCUUCGGGGCGUAACCUUCCACAGGUGCUGCAUGGCUGUCGUCAGCUCGUGUCGUGAGAUGUUGGGUUAAGUCCCGUAACGAGCGAAACCCCUGUCCCUAGUUGCUAGCGGGUAAUGCCGAGGGCUCUAGGGAGACUGCGGUGUUAAACCGUGAGGAAGGUGGGGAUGACGUCAAGUCCUCAUGGCCUUUAUACCCAGGGCUACAAACGUGCUACAAUGGCCGGUACAAAGGGAUGCGAACCCGCGAGGCGGAGCAAAUCCCAAAAAACCGGCCCCAGUUCAGAUUGGAGGCUGCAAUUCGCCUCCAUGAAGUUGGAAUCGCUAGUAAUCGCGUAUCAGCCAUGACGCGGUGAAUGUGUUCCUGAGCCUUGUACACACCGCCCGUCAAGCCAUCCAAGCAGGGCGCACCCGUAAUCGCUGACCCAACCCGCAAGGGAGGGAGGUGCUGAAGGUGAGCUUUGUGAGGAGGACUAGGUCGGAACAAGGUA
rnacentral:rRNA from 1 species